GUGGGGAAUAUUGGGCAAUGGGGGCAACCCUGACCCAGCGACGCCGCGUGAGGGAAGAAGGCCUUAGGGUCGUAAACCUCUGUUGUGUGGGAAGAAGGAAGUGACGGUACCACACGAGGAAGUCCCGGCUAACUACGUGCCAGCAGCCGCGGUAAUACGUAGGGGACGAGCGUUGUCCGGAAUUACUGGGCGUAAAGGGCGCGUAGGCGGUCAUUUAAGUCAGCUGUGAAAUGGUCCGGCUCAACCGGAUCAUGCGGUUGAAACUGGAUGACUGGAGUGCUGGAGAGGCAAGUGGAAUUCCCAGUGUAGCGGUGAAAUGCGUAGAUAUUGGGAAGAACACCGGUGGCGAAGGCGACUUGCUGGCCAGCAACUGACGCUGAGGCGCGAAAGCUAGGGGAGCGAACGGGAUUAGAUACCCUGGUAGUCC
rnacentral:rRNA from 1 species